rnacentral:rRNA from 1 species
CCCUUAGAUGUCCGGGGCUGCACGCGCGCUACACUGAAGGAAUCAGCGUGCUAAAACCAUUGUCGAAAGGCAUUGGUAAACCCAUUAAAAUCCUACGUGAUUGGGAUCGGGAAUUGCAAUUAUUUCCCUUGAACGAGGAAUUCCCAGUAAGUGUGGGUCAUAAGCUCGCGUUGAUUACGUCCCUGCCCUUUGUACACACCGCCCGUCGCUGCCCGGGACUGAGCCGUUUCGAGAAAAGCGGGGACUGCUGCUGUCGGGGCUUUCGGGCCUUGGCUUCGGUGGAAACCGCUUUAAUCGCAGUGGCUUGAACCGGGCAAANGUCGUAACA